rnacentral:rRNA from 1 species
ACGCUCGACACCUACGGGAGGCGGCAGUGGGGAAUAUUGGGCAAUGGGCGCAAGCCUGACCCAGCAACGCCGCGUGAAGGAAGAAGGCUUUCGGGUUGUAAACUUCUUUUGUCAGGGAAGAGCAGAAGACGGUACCUGACGAAUAAGCCACGGCUAACUACGUACCAGCAGCCGCGGUAAUCUGAGCGGGCUGGCAAGGC